GGCGAGUGAAGCGGCAAUAAGACUCAAAUUUGAAAUCUGGUACCUUCGGUGCCCGAGUUGUAAUUUGGAGAGGGCAACUUUGGGGCCGUUCCUUGUCUAUGUUCCUUGGAACAGGACGUCAUAGAGGGUGAGAAUCCCGUGUGGCGAGGAGUGCGGUUCUUUGUAAAGUGCCUUCGAAGAGUCGAGUUGUUUGGGAAUGCAGCUCUAAGUGGGUGGUAAAUUCCAUCUAAAGCUAAAUAUUGGCGAGAGACCGAUAGCGAACAAGUACAGUGAUGGAAAGAUGAAAAGAACUUUGAAAAGAGAGUGAAAAAGUACGUGAAAUUGUUGAAAGGGAAGGGCAUUUGAUCAGACAUGGUGUUUUGUGCCCUCUGCUCCUUGUGGGUAGGGGAAUCUCGCAUUUCACUGGGCCAGCAUCAGUUUUGGUGGCAGGAUAAAUCCAUAGGAAUGUAGCUUGCCUCGGUAAGUAUUAUAGCCUGUGGGAAUACUGCCAGCUGGGACUGAGGACUGCGACGU
rnacentral:rRNA from 1 species